rnacentral:rRNA from 1 species
UACAGAGGUCCCGAGCGUUGUUCGGAUUCACUGGGCGUAAAGGGUGCGUAGGUGGUCGUGUAAGUCUGACGUGAAAUCUCCGAGCUUAACUCGGAAAUGGCGUUGGAUACUAUUCGGCUGGAGGGUUGGAAGGGGGACUGGAAUUCUCGGUGUAGCAGUGAAAUGCGUAGAUAUCAGGAGGAACACCGGUGGCGAAGGCGGCUCUCUGGUCCACAACUGACGCUGAGGUGCGAAAGCUAGGGGAGCAAACGGG